rnacentral:rRNA from 1 species
GACGAACGCUGGCGGCGUGCCUAAUACAUGCAAGUUGAGCGCUGAAGGUUGGUACUUGUACCGACUGGAUGAGCAGCGAACGGGUGAGUAACGCGUGGGGAAUCUGCCUUUGAGCGGGGGACAACAUUUGGAAACGAAUGCUAAUACCGCAUAAAAACUUUAAACACAAGUUUUAAGUUUGAAAGAUGCAAUUGCAUCACUCAAAGAUGAUCCCGCGUUGUAUUAGCUAGUUGGUGAGGUAAAGGCUCAUCAAGGCGAUGAUACAUAGCAGACCUGAGAGGGUGAUCGGCCACAUUGGGACGGAGACACGGCCCAUACUCCUACGGGAGGCAGCAGUAGGGAAUCUUCGGCAAGAGGCGAAAGUCUGACCGAGAAGCGCCGAGGGAGUGAAGAAGGUCUUCGGAUCGUAAAACUCUGUUGGUAGGGAAGAAAGUUGGUGAGAGUGGAAAGCUCAUCAAGUGACGGUAACUACUCAGAAAGCGACGGCUAACUACGUG